rnacentral:rRNA from 1 species
UACAGAGGUCUCAAGCGUUGUUCGGAUUCAUUGGGCGUAAAGGGCGCGUAGGCGGCGGGGUAAGUCUGGUGUGAAAUCUCGGAGCUCAACUCCGAAAUUGCACUGGAUACUGCUCUGCUUGAGGGUUUGGAGAGGAGAUCGGAAUUCACGGUGUAGCAGUGAAAUGCGUAGAUAUCGUGAGGAAGACCAGUGGCGAAGGCGGAUCUCUGGACAGUUCCUGACGCUGAGGCACGAAGGUCAGGGGAGCAAACGGG